GACGUAGGGCGCGAGCGUUGUCCGGAUUUAUUGGGCGUAAAGAGCUCGUAGGCGGCUUGUCGCGUCGAAUGUGAAAAACUCGGGGCUCAACUCCGAGCUUGCAUUCGAUACGGGCAGGCUAGAGUUCGGUAGGGGAGACUGGAAUUCCUGGUGUAGCGGUGAAAUGCGCAGAUAUCAGGAGGAACACCGGUGGCGAAGGCGGGUCUCUGGGCCGAUACUGACGCUGAGGAGCGAAAGCGUGGGUAGCAAACAGG
rnacentral:rRNA from 1 species